rnacentral:rRNA from 1 species
CAAUAGCGUAUAUUAAAGUUGUUGCAGUUAAAAAGCUCGUAGUUGAAUUUCUGUCAGGAGUGACCGGGCCUUUGGAUGAACUUCCAUUGUUUUUUGCUCUGUUUGUCAUCUCUAGACAUCCUGAAAUAUUUUUUAAAAAUAUUUCUCUUUUACUGUUAGCAAAAUAGAGUGUUCCAAGCAAAGCGUAGUUUUGAAUACAUUAGAAUGGAAUAAUAAGAUAGGACUUUGGUGCUAUUUUGUUGGUUUGCACACCAAGGUAAUGAUUAAUAGGGACAGUUGGGGGUAUUCGUAUUUAAUUGUCAGAGGUGAAAUUCUCGGAUUUAUGAAAGACGAACUACUGCGAAAGCAUUUACCAAGGAUGUUUUCAUUAA